rnacentral:rRNA from 1 species
UNCAUAUCCAAUAAGCUGUGGAAAAGAAACUAACAAGGAUUCCCUUAGUAACGGCGAGUGAAGCGGGAAGAGCUCAAAUUUGAAAUCUUCAAGGUUCUACCUUGACGAAUUGUAGUUUAUAGAAGUGUUUUCUGUUAGUGGAGUGGCAAAAGUUCUUUGGAAUAGGACAUCAUAGAGGGUGAGAAUCCCGUAUUUGGUCAUUCCUCCUAGCGUUGUGAUACACUUUCAACGAGUCGGAUUGUUUGGGAAUGCAGUCCAAAAUGGGUGGUAAAUUUCAUCUAAAGCUAAAUAUUGGCGAGAGACCGAUAGCGAACAAGUACCGUGAGGGAAAGAUGAAAAGAACUUUGAAAAGAGAGUUAAACAGUACGUGAAAUUGUCAAAAGGGAAGCGUUUGACACCAGUGUUGUUUUUCCGAAAAUCAAUUACGAAUGUUUUGUUUUUGAGGAGUUAUGACUUCAUCGGCUUGCUCCUUUCUUUAUGAAACUUUCUUAAUGCACUUUUCGGUUAACAAGUCAACAUCAAUUUCUUUUGUUGUAAAAGGGUAUGAGGAAGGUGGCUUUCUUUUCGGAGAAAGUGUUUAUAGCCUUGUGCCUCUGCAAUCGGAGAGAUUGAGGUCUGCAGCGUAGAUCCUUCGGGGUUAGAUACGUUUGUGCUAAGUUAUAGCUUUUCAUAGACAACUUGUUGACUAUGUUUAGUCUUGUAGCUUACUCGCUUACGCUAUUUUACCUACGCAUAGGAUGUUGACAAAAUGGUUUUAAACGACCCGUCUUGAAACCACGGACA